CUUGGAAACCCUGUAAGCUCUUCACAGUCCCUGCCACUGGGAGAAAACGAGGAACUCAUUUUAGGGCUGGUCUAGGAGAGGCCUCUUCUCAAAGGACUCUGGUUGCAGCAUUUCCACUGGUAUUCCAUGGGAAGAAGACUGCUCACACAGUGCUGAUUCUGUAUUUCCAGUUGCUAAUGACAAAAAUGGUCAUAUUUAUGUUCUUCCAUGUAAGCAAUUUUUGUAGCUGACAUACAGACAUUUCACAAUCACAAAAGAGAAGAUGGUCAAUAGGAAGGGUGGAGGACCAUAUUUUUUUAUGACAAAAGGAAGGAGAAGCUGUAUUAAAACACAGUCUGCACUGCAAAGAAAUCCAAGAUCCAUCAUUUGGUUAAUAUUUCAGCAGACACGACCUAGAGCAAUAAUAUUUUUAUCUUCAGUACUUCACUUGAAGUAAACAAACAGACGCCACCAAAGGUCAUACUGCUGCAUGUCUAUAACCCGCGGGGUGCAAGAGCCAUGAGCUAAGACAAAACACAGCUCUGGGGUGGGAGAGUUGGUUUGCAAAAAAAUAUCCUUAAGAAAAACUCUUCCACUCGUUCUUCUGUUAUCUACUCCUAGCUGGCUUCAGGCUAGGGUUUCAUAGAGGCUGCAGUCCCUUGCUGUUGUUGAUGGACAUAAUCCAGCCCUACAGAGGUUGCAGGGGGUAUGGAGCACCAUAUAUCACCCUGUGAAAUGCCACAAACCUGUUUUCCACCAUGCACCCGGGUCACCCUUAGGGUACUAGCGCAAUGUGGACAGAAGCACACACCAUGGUGAUGAGACGGGUGGAAGGAGGAAGAAUGCCAUGGAAAGUUAGCAGAGAGAGCAAGAAUGGACUGAACAGCCGAGAAGGCAGCCGGCAGGGCAGAGCACCAAAGCAACACGGGCACGCACCGCAGGAUUAUCCCACCCGACAGCUGCUCCUCGCCACCCACCACCAACACACGCCACCUCGGGAAAAAAACACCUUAGACUCCGGAAAAAUGGGCGAGCGGCGGGGAGAGCCGGGCUGGCCACCUGGGAGGAGACCUUCAAACCUUCAGAAAUCAGGUUAUGGAGAGGUCACCUCGGUCAUUCGUGUGAAUGAGCACUCACAGGAGCACUGACAUCUGAACUGGCAUUUCCAAACUAUUGAUACCAAUCACCGCACACAGCCUCCCUAGGUAAGUAAUAGCAAUUUACACAGAAAAGUGCUCACCCCAUUGACAAAGGACAGAAAAAAAAAAUGCAGGAGAUCACUGUGGGUUGCUUAUUUUUAUUUGGGAAGAAAAUAUUUAAGGGGAACAGAAAAAAAAUCAACAGGAAACUGGGAAGGAAGUGGGGCUUGAGGGUGAGAAAAGGGAAAACAGAAGAAUAAAUGGGAAACAGAAAGAUUUGUGGAAGGAUGAAUUCAGCUUCGGUACCUACCUAGAACACACAGUUUACAUGUUCACCAGGGUGUGUGCAAGAGGCGUGGGCAUUUAUUAAAAAGUUUUGAUAUAAUUAUGAAGCUUGUAACACUGAAGGUAGGAAACCAGAGCAUGGUAACGCAGGGGCUGAAGAAGACAUUUCACAAGUGUUUUUCUGGUUGGGGAAAAGACAAAAUAUGCCAAGAAAUUUCCUACUGUUAUAGAGCAGCCUAAAGAUACUUUCCAGCUGGGGACCUGCAGAACGGCUUACCCAGAGCGAGUGGCUUCCACGGGGGGCUGGGAGCCUCCUUCCCACCCGAAAUUCAGCCCCACAGUCAUUCGCCCCACCACAGCUGGUGGCCAUCUCCUUCGUGUGUGUCUAUACAGCUGAAGGCAUGUGGACAAUAAACCUGUGCAUGCAGGGGAAGGGCCAUUAUUCAGGCUGUACAGAAAAUAGAUGGGCAGGUAUUCAAAUGCUACAUGCCAGCUGCAGCAAGCCUGAGGAUUUUAGAUUAACCUCUGGAUAUCAGGAUUUCCACUGUUGUUGAAAACGGACCCUGCUGUAACCAUAGAGUUUUCAGGAGAGAAAUACACAAAGCAAGCCUGAUUCUUCUCUUGAUUUUAAGGCACAAGCCUAUGGUGAGAAACGAGCAAAUUGUUCCUGGUUUAGGAUCAUACAAAUGUGAUCUUAAUGCAGAAUAAUCCACAGCAAGAGGGAGAAACAAAAGAGACUGGCUAGCAGUCUGUGUUCCUCCAUUCUUUGUGCUGCUGAAAAAACAUGGAAAAGAAAAAAGAAAUCCCAAAUGGGAAGACUAUUUAUUUACUGCUUAGGUACUUAGGUAAAACUAUAGAAGACUGUUUGCAUUAAGGCUGGCCACGAUACCAUCUAGAACACAAUGCAGGCUGGGACAGAUAAGAAUAAGCACAGAGAUUUUUCUAGUCACCAAAUUGUCUGCAAUCUGAUCGGGAGUUUCCUUGGGGUGUGUCUGUUUCUAAAAUAUUAUGUUUAAAUGUGUCAUCCUUAGUGCCAUAAAAAUAUUUUUAGAGCUGUAGUAAGUCUAUAAAUAGGAGUAGUAAAUCUAUCUGUAACAUAACAGCCUCAAAACUGGUGAGGCUGAUUUGGUCUAAACAUGCUGGGAAGAUUCUGUAAAUUUCUAAAUAAAUUAGGAACAGAAGUUCUGCUAUCCAAAAACUAGCUUUGGGCAAACAUUCUGAUUUAUAGUGUUGUUUUAUUUUAUUUUAUUUGUUGCCAGGAAAAUGGAAUAUAAAAUAAAAUUAUAAAAAGCCCUCCUCUCUCCCCAUGGACAUUAAGAACUUGUUAAUUCAUUCCUUUAUUGUAAGGCUUGUGCUUCGUUGAUUAAUAUUAAAUUACAGAGUUACUUGUAGAGAAGGUUGGUUCAGCAAAAUGAAGCAAAGCAGAGAACUCUCCAAGACCUAAACCUGCAAAGGAAGAAGGAGCCCAGCGUGUCUGUAACCCUCUCCUCACAGAAACAGAGCUGCAAACAUAUUUUUGAACCACAGGGAAAACCUCUGGACUGUUCCUGGCUGACUCAGAGCCUUUUUCCCAGGUACAGAGCCAAAGCAGUGCAAAGGAUUCCCAAAAGUCUCAUUUCCGCACCAGAAAUGAUUCUUCUGAAGAGCUCGAGGAUAGAGGAGAGAAUAUAUCAGAAGAGAACAAGGUGUCUGUCAGACUGGAGUCACAGCGCUGGGCUCCGUGGAGACUCCAAGCGGCUGUGAUGGAUAUGAGUGUCUCAAAGAGUUGUCAUGAAUCACUCAGUCCAUGUUAUACGACGGACUACUCUGAACUGCAGACAGGUCAGACAUCUUGAAAAAAGGAAAGGCACAAUCAUUUGCUUGUGGUCCUUGUGGCACCUGCAUCCCCAAGUCAGAGGCUGUGCCAUUGUGCCUCCUGGGUGUUCUGUUUUCUGUUACUCUUAAUUUGGAGCUUGCUUCUCUAAAUAUACUCUUUCCUGAUUUGCUUUUUUGUCUAGCUGCCAAGGGUCAUCAGAUUUUUACUCCUUGCUCCUAAUUAUCGUUACAUCCGUGGAGGAGAUUAUUUGAGUAAACUGACUGGGAUUAACAAACCAGCUGUUUAUCAUCACAUCUGAACCCCCAAACUCCUCAGCCUGAAGCUGCCGUAACCUAUGACUUACAAACUUGCCAUCCAGCCAUUCCAGUUACUAAUGCAUCAAUUACAACCCAUGUAAAUUUAUGGCUGGGAUUAAAGCUGAAUGUGUGAUGAUAAAAAGCCUUCCAGAAAGACAAGGGUCCUGGGAUAUUAUGAAUUAUCUGGCAGUCAUUACUACACAGUCCUUUGUGGAUCAUAAUCAACUAGUGAAGUAACGUAGAGGACUUUUCUCCCACUGAAGGCAUGGGGAGCUUUUGCUUCAGAAGGAGUAGAGUCAGGUCCAAGUCCUUAAUUUGUGCAUUUCUCAGUCACUGGCUGCUAGCUGGCACUUGGGUUUGGAAGUCAAGGAUUCUGUCCUGAGAGAAACGUGAAGCACAAGAAAAGACAUCCAAGAGUCGCUGACAUCAUGUGGGUAAAGUUCAGCAUAUUUGGAAAUGAUUGCUAGAUUUUGUUUUGUCCUCUCUCAAGAGCUACACUGUGUUUGAUGCAUGAGACUCUAAUUGAAUUUAAGCAAAUAAACUUCAGGUUACAACAUGAACUCAAGCCUUGUUAUGCAUUCUGAUGCCUCCGUUUGCCUAUCUUAGUGAGACAAAAAUGAAAUAUGAUGCAGACAAUCAAUCUUUUUAUAUCUAUGCUGUGCUCUUUAUAGGGAAGCAUGACAGAUGUUUUUUAUUACAAUCGUAUGUUUACUGAGAGAGAGGUAGAGCAUUAAACUUCAGAUAUAACAUUUUCCUCACAUCUCAUAUUCAUGAGAAAAG
rnacentral:lncRNA from 1 species